GCUGGGUGUGGUGGCUCACACCUGUAAUCCCAACACUGGGAGGCCGAGGCAGGCGGAUUGCCUGAGGUCAGGAGUUCAAGACCAGCCUGGCCAAUAUGGUGAAACCCUGUCUCUA
ensembl:misc_RNA Metazoa_SRP Metazoan signal recognition particle RNA